UUGACAUGCAGAGAACUUUCCAGAGAUGGAUUGGUGCCUUCGGGAACUCUGACACAGGUGCUGCAUGGCUGUCGUCAGCUCGUGUCGUGAGAUGUUGGGUUAAGUCCCGUAACGAGCGCAACCCUUGUCCUUAGUUACCAGCACGUUAUGGUGGGCACUCUAAGGAGACUGCCGGUGACAAACCGGAGGAAGGUGGGGAUGACGCCAAGUCAUCAUGGCCCUUACGGCCUGGGCUACACACGUGCUACAAUGGUCGGUACAAAGGGUUGCCAAGCCGCGAGGUGGAGCUAAUCCCAUAAAACCGAUCGUAGUCCGGAUCGCAGUCUGCAACUCGACUGCGUGAAGUCGGAAUCGCUAGUAAUCGUGAAUCAGAAUGUCACGGUGAAUACGUUCCCGGGCCUU
rnacentral:rRNA from 1 species